rnacentral:rRNA from 1 species
GACGAACGCUGGCGGCGUGCCUAAUACAUGCAAGACGAGCGAAUGACGAGAAGCUUGCUUCUCUGAUUUAGCGGCGGACGGGUGAGUAACACGUGGGCAACCUGCCCUACAGAUCGGGAUAACUCAGGGAAACCUGGGCUAAUACCGGAUAAUCCUUCGAAUCACAUGUUUUGAAGUUGAAAGGCGCUUCGGCGUCACUGUAGGAUGGGCCCGCGGUGCAUUAGCUAGUUGGUGGGGUAACGGCCUACCAAGGCAACGAUGCAUAGCCGACCUGAGAGGGUGAUCGGCCACAUUGGGACUGGGACACGGCCCAAACUCCUGCGGGAGGCAGCAGUAGGGAAUCUUCCACAAUGGACGAAAGUCUGAUGGAGCAACGCCGCGUGAGUGAUGAAGGUUUUCGGAUCGUAAAACUCUGUUGUAAGGGAAGAACAAGUACGUUAGGAAAUGAACGUACCUUGACGGUACCUUAUUAGAAAGCCACGGCUAACUACGUGCCAGCCGCCGCCGUAA